rnacentral:rRNA from 1 species
ACUCCUACGGGAGGCAGCAGUGAGGAAUAUUGGUCAAUGGAGGGAACUCUGAACCAGCCAUCCCGCGUGUAGGAAGACGGCCUUAUGGGUUGUAAACUACUUUUAUACAGGAAGAAACGUACCCUCGUGAGGGGUGCCUACGGUACUGUAGGAAUAAGCACCGGCUAACUCCGUGCCAGCAUCCGCGGUAUACGGAGGGUGCGAGCGUUAUCCGGAUUUAUUGGGUUUAAAGGGUCCGUA